rnacentral:rRNA from 1 species
AGGGUUUGAUUAUGGCUCAGGAUGAACGCUGGCGGCGUGCUUAAUACAUGCAAGUCGAGCGAAGCGCUUUAACGGAAUUCUUCGGAAGGAAGAUAAAGUGACUGAGCGGCGGACGGGUGAGUAACGCGUGGGUAACCUGCCUCAUACAGGGGGAUAACAGUUAGAAAUGGCUGCUAAUACCGCAUAAGCGCACAGGACCGCAUGGUCUGGUGUGAAAAACUCCGGUGGUAUGGGAUGGACCCGCGUUGGAUUAGCUAGUUGGUGGGGUAACGGCCUACCAAGGCGACGAUCCAUAGCCGGCCUGAGAGGGUGGACGGCCACAUUGGGACUGAGACACGGCCCAG